CUGGCUCCCUGAUGGGGGGAGGGAAGGUUCGGGCAUUGGCAUACAGGUCCAUGCACACCUCCCUUUUCCCCUACUCUAGCUCAGUCGAUAAAGCACUAGACUGGGACUUAGUAGACCUGGGUUCCAUUACUGGCUUGGCCACUGCCAGCUAGGUGACUUUGGGCAAGUCACAUUAGGUCACUGUGUGUUAGCUUCCCCAUCUCCAAAUUGGGGAUGAUGAUACUGAUCUCCUUUGUAUAGCACAUGAUAAGUCCUAUAUAAGCACUUUGUUCUAUUAUUAUUACAUGUAAUACUGCUUCUCUGAAUUACAUACAUUACAGCCCUAUUCUAUACACCCUCUUUGGACAUUUGUUACACUUAGCAUUUGCGGACCUCUUUGCUUCCUGCUCCUCAAGGAACUGAAUUUGAAUGUUCUGGAUGCACUGAGCUGGUGGCAGUUGGUCUCAGAAUGAAGCAGGCCAGGACGCUUUGAGAGAUAGGGGAGUUAAGGUGCUGUCUCAGGCGCAGUUAGACUCUCAAGGUUCCAGCCCAUGGUGAUAUACACUCAAAGUCUCAUGAACAACAAAGGAUUGCCCUAGUGGGACUGCCCGAUAUUAACAGUCCAAUUAACCUCUCUAUGUUUGUUUUAAUGUUUAUCCAAAUAAAGACAAAAACCCAACACACAAUAGUUCCCAAUCCUAUGCUAUGAAAGCAGAGCUCCUCCUGCCUAGCACCAGGGAUGCUCCCUGAAGGAAGCAAUCACUCACUGGCCUGCAGUCCCCCAGAGUUCAGUUCUUUCAUUCCUGCCACCCCUUUGCAGGUAUUCUCAAGUAUUCAACUCUCGAGGGGGUUAGCACAGACCCCUUUGCCAGCAACGGGCUGCUGCUUAGCCAUUCUCUCCCAGCUCAUGCCUUCUCUUCACAGGCUGCCUCUGACCUACUGCUCCUGCUCAAUGCAUCCUCUGGCUCCCUCCUGAGCCAGGUUCCCUGCCUUCUCAGUGCUGAAUGAAGUAUGGAAUCCUGUACUGGCAGGAUGUUGUGCUGGAAGUUAACACUGCCCUCUAGGAGCUCACAGAUUCAUCACAACACCUUGAGAGAAGCAGGAUUACAAGUGAUCUUGCUGCUGUGAAUAGAGAUGGAGGGGAGAGGUGAGGUGGAGAUAUAUAUUUCAAAAUUCAUCGCCUGCCUUUGGUUCCAAGUGAGAGGAGGUGCUGCCGAUGGAUAGAAGGGACAGCAUUCAUCAUAUCAACACUAAGGAGCUGAGAACCAGAGUCCCAGAUGCUCUACUAGAAACUCUUCCUGUGGGAGGGGGGACAAAGGAAUCAGCUCUAGAUAUGCAACAGAAAACCCAUAAACUACCUGCUCCUGAGGGUCGGAUAUAAAAUAUAAGGCCAUGAUUUGGAAGUACAUUACUUACAAACACAAAAUACAGUACUACUGGAAAAUACAUUAACCAAAUAUCACUCUUUCAUACUGCAGAUGAUCAAAGGAUUACAUGAAUUUUAAUCCUUUGCAAAAUACAGUAUAAUCUCUCCCCUUUAACCUAUUAAUAUAUCUAUAAAAGAGCUAGUAACAUGGUUACAGGGCGAGCUGCACUUUAGGCCCCUUUCAGCCCUUCUCGAGCAUAUCCUUCAGGUGACAGGCCUGACUUCCUGCACCUUUCUCGAGGGUCAAACCACGUGAUCCAUCCACUCUUGGAUUGCAUCUCUGGGGGGCAACCCCGUUUCCCAACCAUGUUAACCCAACAGGCCCAGCUGUUUUCCCUCCUUGUUGUCCUUUAAUAAUGUUAGAUGGAAUCCUGUGGCUAAGAGUGAAUGGGUUGUAAAAGGAGGUGAAGAGCUUGUACAUUUCAGCAACUGUGGGGUUUGCAAAGUAAAGGGAUUUGUAUUAACAGGGCAAAUUGGAGCAUUGCUAAAAGAGGACAGAGUUAAGUUUGGAUGGACAACCUUAACUGUGCAUUUUCUGGUUUUCAAAAGUCUGAGUUUUUACUCAAUUCAACAUUCUGCAAGGGGACAAUAUACCACCAAGCAAUCUUAACUCUACAUUAACAUAGUUUUUUGCCAUUGAAUUCAUCCAAAGAUAUAUAGCAAGUAGAGGAAAGGGAUAAAACAAAGGUCUAUACUUGUCUUUCCCCUUACCUAAACCUUAAUAUUUCCUCGCAAGCUUUGGUAAAUUCCAUUCAGCCCAGUUACCUCCAUCUAUGUUUGGGACAGAGAGAGAGAGAAGGGUCUGCUCAUGGCAGUUUUUCCCUUUCUCUAUGUCUUUGUCAGCAUCUCCUUCCUGAGCAGCUGCUGACAACCCACGCAACACUUCCCCCUCUUUCUUCCUACUCUAACAUCUCUAAGGUGCAAUGUGUUUUGAACCUAGGCUUAGAUCUGGAAAGAGUAAACCUUGUCAGCCUGGUUGGAGCCAGGUAAGACCAUUUUCCAAUCAAUAGUUCCCCAUUCAAUGACCCUUGAUAUUCUGUGGACUGUACCUUAUCUUUGCCAUAGUUUUAUUUCCUGUUUGUUCUCCUCUUCUUCCCCGCCCCAAGCAGCCUACUUUGAUUUAACUCCUUGCAGUUAGAUAGGAUAAUAUCAACGAGAUAAACUGAGGUGCAUGUUUCUAUUUGCAAAAAAAUAAUUAUACACAUAACUCCCUUAUUUUCCACAGCUAGGUAUUAUUAUCAGACAACUUUAAUAGAUGACAUUAAAAUAGAAAUGAGGGGCUUUGACCUAAUAAGAAAACAUCCUGCUUUAUUAGCAUCUACUCACCAUUAUAGUUUAAUAUGUGACAUUCUUGAGUAUGUGCUUUUUUAAAUGGAUUUGAUUAUUAUACUAUUCUCAAAUACACAUACACACAUCAUGAAGCAUUUAAGGUUGCUAUACACACAACAUAUCUGACACUAACUAACAAAGCAAGGAAAUUAAAACAUAAUCCACCCAACUGUACCUACCUCCUAGCUGUACACCCAGAGGCACUCACCCUUACUUCAGCAACCAUACACCACAGACCACACAUGGUCUUAAUGCGGUAAAGGGGUAUGUGCAGAAUGUCAAUAUGGGAACGGUUAUCUCCCCCACCACAACAACACUAGUAGUUGUGGAUGUUUGAUGUAGUAGUUGGUUUUAUCAGAAAGGUACCUUGGAAAAGAGCUCUGUGCAGAAGUACACAGAUAAAAGGGGUGUUAGAAGGCUAGCAUCCCUAGGGUGCAGAGCUAUGGUCAGAGUGCAGAGUCUGUAUGAUGCAGCGGUUGUAUGUACUGUCAAGUGUCUGAACUUUUCAUUUAAUUGCUUUUGUGGAUUACUGUAAGGGCCUCUUGUGUGGAGAAUCUCUAACUACUUCACAACAAACAUUUUUAUUUAUUAGUUUCCUAGGUUGUGUAAUGCUUUGUUUGGAGUGGCUUUGAUCAGGCAACCUAUAGAGCAGAGAAGUGGAGAUGUUGAUGAAUGAUAAUCAAUCAGCCAGCAGCUCCAUAUAAACAUUCAUGUGCCAGCAAUUGCCAACGAACCCUUCUGUGAUCUUUGUUUUCUGUUACUAUUUUUUAUCUCCUGUCAGAGUAGGAUUUCUUUAUGUAUCCUGCACAGGCCUUCAAGCACAAAGUCCCCAUCCCUCAAAAAUGCAUGAACCUAGCUCACCAGGUGACUUGAGGGUAAAGCUAGAGAAGAUUGGUGGACAGUUAGGUAAUGGAUUCAGUCUCAUAGCUGCACCAGUCAUAGGGUUAGAUAUCAAGCCACGCCUUGAGUAUAGUUAGGGUAGGUUGGGUCAGUUGAAAGAUCUGGGAAAAGGUUACACUUCAGGCAGUGCAAAGAUCUUGGACUAGGUUUAGCAUUAGGGAUGGUUGGUGACUUUCAGAAUGGAUUAUUAUAGGGAUCCCUGGGCUGUUGUAAUAUUGAGUCAAUUAGGUCUUAUUGGUAGAGUUGCGAACCCUCCAGGAUUGUCCUGCAGUCUCCAAGAAUUAAAGAUUAAUCUUUCAUUGAGGGUAUGUCAUAUGAUGAAAUCUCCAGGAAAAUAUCUGACUACGAUUGGCAAACCUACUUAUCGGGGCUAGAAUCAACACUGGGGCCUGGAGGACUCCCUCAACAAAGCUUGGAGUGGGGCCGAAAGGCCUCCCUGGGCCAGCAUUAGGGCUAUAGGGAUGAUAGGCCUCCCUGGGCCAGUAUUAGGGUUAUGGAUGAUAGCACAAAUCAGCCUAUGGAUCAUUUGAGGGGCUCUGGGGCUCCCUGGCCUAGUGCUAAGGUCAUUCCAGGUAUGGCUCUCUGGCCCAGAGUUACAAGGCAUAGGUUCCCAGGGCCAGGGUGAAGGUUGCAAUUCAUACAGUUU